rnacentral:rRNA from 14 species
AAUUCCUUGUCGGGUAAGUUCCGACCUGCACGAAUGGUGUAACGACUUGGGCACUGUCUCGGCCAUGAGCUCGGUGAAAUUGUAGUAGCGGUGAAGAUGCCGCUUACUCGCAACGGGACGGAAAGACCCCGUGAACCUUUACUAUAGCUUCACAUUGGUAUUGGGUAAAUGAUGUGUAGGAUAGGCGGGAGACUCUGAAGCUGCGUCGCUAGGCGUGGUGGAGUCGUUGGUGAAAUACCGCCCUUUAUUUAUCUGAUGCCUAAUCCGGAGACGGAGACAGUGUGUGGUGGGUAGUUUGACUGGGGUGGUCGCCUCCAAAAGUGUAACGGAGGCUUUCAAAGGUACCCUCAGCAUGUUUGGUAAUCAUGCGUGGAGCGCAAUAGCAUAAGGGUGCUUGACUGUGAGACUAACAAGUCGAUCAGGGUCGAAAGACGGAUAUAGUGAUCCGGUGGUUCUGUAUGGAAGGGCCAUCGCUCAAAGGAUAAAAGGUACUCCGGGGAUAACAGGCUGAUCUUGCCCAAGAGUUCACAUCGACGGCAAGGUUUGGCACCUCGAUGUCGGCUCAUCGCAUCC